AGGUUCGUGAUUUUUCCUGUGGAGAACCAGGAAUUGCAACGGAUUGGGAAGAAAUCACUGAUAAUACUUUUAAAAAGGAAGUGACCAAAAAGAAUGAGCCCCGUUUUAGUUGUGGACACCGUGAAUUUUUCGACGGAUUCUCGAAAUGUGAGGACUUUAGGGUGCGCAAAACCUCCUCUAAGCGCUUUGAAAGGGAGCCCAAAUGGCUGAUAGAUGAGGGCAGAACCACUCGACCUUGCACUCCCAUCACACGACCUUGUACUCCCGAGCCGGUCAAUUAUAAGUUCCAGAACUCAGCAAACACAAAUUGGGACUUUUUAAUUUAUAAGGACUCACACACAUCCGGAAAAGCUAAAGCCCGUGGCAAAGCUAAGGAAACUGCAGACGAAAAGGCACCUUUGACGGUUAAUAACGCCAAUCGAGUUUAUCGGAUCCCCCGAAAGAAGGAAAUAACAUUGAAUGAAAUCAGAC